rnacentral:rRNA from 1 species
UACGGAGGAUGCAAGUGUUAUCCGGAAUCACUGGGCGUAAAGCGUCUGUAGGUGGUUUGCUAAGUCCGCUGUUAAAGCUUGAAGCUCAACUUCGAAAAUGCAGUGGAAACUAGUAGACUUGAGUGUGGUAGGGGUAGAGGGAAUUUCCAGUGAAGUGGUGAAAUGCGUAGAUAUUGGAAAGACCACCAAUGGCGAAGGCACUCUACUGGGCCACAACUGACACUGAGAGACGAAAGCUAGGGGAGCAGAUGGG